AGGGACGGGACGCGGUGCAGUGU
rnacentral:miRNA from 1 species